ACUUAGCACUCUAGGUAGUAAUCAAACCAAUAUGUAUUGGCGGUCUUUAAAUAUUAGAGAAACUCGCUUUAUAAUCGUAAUUACCCGAUAAUUUUCUCUCAACUUCAUACAGCUUAUAUACCGCCGUUUAGACUUUAUUUAAUAUAUAACUCUAAAAAUGUAAAUUUAUCAAAAAUCAGGUCAAGGUGUAGCCAAUAGAUGAGCAAAAGUAAGUUACAUUAAAAAUAAUUUAAGAACAGAAAGUUAAAACUAACUAGAAAAAGAAUUUAUCUGUAUAUAUUAAUUAAAAUUUAAUAUAGAACACAACAUUAGAGAUGC
rnacentral:rRNA from 1 species